rnacentral:rRNA from 1 species
AACGAACGCUGGCGGCAUGCCUAACACAUGCAAGUCGAACGAGACCUUCGGGUCUAGUGGCGCACGGGUGCGUAACGCGUGGGAACCUGCCUUUAGGUUCGGAAUAACUCAGAGAAAUUUGAGCUAAUACCGGAUAAUGUCUUCGGACCAAAGAUUUAUCGCCUUUAGAUGGGCCCGCGUAAGAUUAGCUAGUUGGUGGGUAAAGGCCUACCAAGGCGACGAUCUUUAGCUGGUCUGAGAGGAUGAUCAGCCACACUGGGACUGAGACACGGCCCAGACUCCUACGGAGGCAGCAGUGGGGAAUAUUGGACAAUGGGGGCAACCCUGAUCCAGCAAUGCCGCGUGAGUGAUGAAGGCCUUAGGGUUGUAAAGCUCUUUGCCAGGGAGAUGAUGACUGUACCUGGAGAAUAAGCCCCGGCUAACCUUCGUGCCAGCAGCCGCGGUAAU